GUGACAUCAGAUGAGGUGGGGGACCCACUGGGGGGAGCUGCACAGAGUGGGGAAGAUGGCAGCUGAUGCUGGGAUGGUUGGAAUUGUUCUCUUGACCUCUUUGUGGAAACAUCUAGAAGGCAGCAGCAAUGACAAAGUCACUUUAAAUGCCCAGCCCAGCGCACAGAACCUGCCUACGAGAUGGCUUGGAAAGAAUCCACCAAGCCUGCGUGAGGAGGGAAGUACAGUCACACCCUGAUCUACUCAGCAGAAUGAAAGGAAUGGAUAUGGAGAUAGAGACAAAGAGGGAGAAACAGAGAGACAGACACCACAGCAAGGCUCUGCCAUCUCUGGAGCUUCCACCAGUGAUACUCCCACGAGUUGCUACCUCUCCCAUUCCAGGAAGCUGAGCUCCUUGCUCCCCACUUUCUGGCCCUGCCUGGCUGACUCGGAUGCAGAGCAGCUGACCAACACUUGCCAAGGUGGCUGAACUUAGUGCCAAGAUGAGGUGGCAGUCACUCCCGAUGGCAUGUGACACCAACCACGAACCCUGUGACCUAAGCAACAAGAAUGGUGUCCAGGAAGGAUAGCCAGCUCUUGGUCCAAGAAAGACACUUCCAUGCCACCUCCAUCACGUGGAGAAAGAUUCACGAUGAUGAAAACCUCCCCAUGGCUCGAGCCAUCAGCGUGGAAGGAGGAGAUGAGGGCAGGCACUUGGGGACCUCCGUGUGCCCUUUCAUUCUCUUCAUCAUGAUAAAUAAAGAGAGUCCUUUCCCUCU